rnacentral:rRNA from 1 species
GUCGAGCGAACAGACGAGGAGCUUGCUCCUUUGACGUUAGCGGCGGACGGGUGAGUAACACGUAGGUAACCUACCUAUAAGACUGGGAUAACUUCGGGAAACCGGAGCUAAUACCGGAUAAUAUUUCGAACCGCAUGGUUCGAUAGUGAAAGAUGGCUUUGCUAUCACUUAUAGAUGGACCUGCGCCGUAUUAGCUAGUUGGUAAGGUAACGGCUUACCAAGGCAACGAUACGUAGCCGACCUGAGAGGGUGAUCGGCCACACUGGAACUGAGACACGGUCCAGACUCCUACGGGAGGCAGCAGUAGGGAAUCUUCCGCAAUGGGCGAAAGCCUGACGGAGCAACGCCGCGUGAGUGAUGAAGGUCUUCGGAUCGUAAAACUCUGUUAUUAGGGAAGAACAAACGUGUAAGUAACUGUGCACGUCUUGACGGUACCUAAUCAGAAAGCCACGGCUAACUACGUGCCAGCAGCCGCGGUAAUACGUAGGUGGCAAGCGUUAUCCGGAAUUAUUGGGCGUAAAGCGCGCGUAGGCGGUUUUUUAAGUCUGAUGUGAAAGCCCACGGCUCAACCGUGGAGGGUCAUUGGAAACUGGAAAACUUGAGUGCAGAAGAGGACAGUGGAAUUCCAUGUGUAGCGGUGAAAUGCGCA